CAUAGAUAUCGCGCAGAACUCCGAUUGCGAAGGCAGCGUACCGGCGCCAGACUGACGCUGAGGCACGAAAGCGUGGGGAUCGAACAGGAUUAGAUACCCUGGUAGUCCACGCAGUAAACGAUGAAUACUGGUUGUCCGGGUCGAAUGAGACCUGGGCGGCGAAGCGAAAGCGAUAAGCAUUCCACCUGGGGAGUACGCCGGCAACGGUGAAACUCAAAGGAAUUGACGGGGGCCCGCACAAGCGGAGGAACAUGUGGUUUAAUUCGAUGAUACGCGAGGAACCUUACCCGGGCUCAAACGGGAGUGGAAUGGACCAGAGACGGUUCAGCCUACGGGCCGCUUCCGAGGUGCUGCAUGGUUGUCGUCAGCUCGUGCCGUGAGGUGUCGGCUUAAGUGCCAUAACGAGCGCAACCCCCGCCGGCAGUUGCUAACGGGCAAUGCCGAGGACUCUGCCGGGACUGCCGCCGCAAGGCGUGAGGAAGGCGGGGAUGACGUCAAAUCAGCACGGCCCUUACGUCCGGGGCGACACACGUGUUACAAUGGGCGGUACAGCGGGAAGCCAGGCGGCGACGCCGAGCGGAACCCGAAAGCCGUUCUCAGUUCGGAUCGGAGUCUGCAACCCGACUCCGUGAAGCUGGAUUCGCUAGUAAUCGCGCAUCAGCCAUGGCGCGGUGAAUACGUUCCCGGGCCUUGUACACACCGCCCGUCAAG
rnacentral:rRNA from 1 species